UUAAGCGACUAAGCGUACACGGUGGAUGCCCUGGCAGUCAGAGGCGAUGAAGGACGUGCUAAUCUGCGAUAAGCGUCGGUAAGGUGAUAUGAACCGUUAUAACCGGCGAUUUCCGAAUGGGGAAACCCAGUGUGAUUCGUCACACUAUCAUUAACUGAAUCCAUAGGUUAAUGAGGCGAACCGGGGGAACUGAAACAUCUAAGUACCCCGAGGAAAAGAAAUCAACCGAGAUUCCCCCAGUAGCGGCGAGCGAACGGGGAGCAGCCCAGAGCCUGAAUCAGUGUGUGUGUUAGUGGAAGCGUCUGGAAAGGCGCGCGAUACAGGGUGACAGCCCCGUACACAAAAAUGCACAUACUGUGAGCUCGAUGAGUAGGGCGGGACACGUGGUAUCCUGUCUGAAUAUGGGGGGACCAUCCUCCAAGGCUAAAUACUCCUGACUGACCGAUAGUGAACCAGUACCGUGAGGGAAAGGCGAAAAGAACCCCGGCGAGGGGAGUGAAAAAGAACCUGAAACCGUGUACGUACAAGCAGUGGGAGCACAGAGCAAUCUGUGUGACUGCGUACCUUUUGUAUAAUGGGUCAGCGACUUAUAUUCUGUAGCAAGGUUAACCGAAUAGGGGAGCCGAAGGGAAACCGAGUCUUAACUGGGCGUUAAGUUGCAGGGUAUAGACCCGAAACCCGGUGAUCUAGCCAUGGGCAGGUUGAAGGUUGGGUAACACUAACUGGAGGACCGAACCGACUAAUGUUGAAAAAUUAGCGGAUGACUUGUGGCUGGGGGUGAAAGGCCAAUCAAACCGGGAGAUAGCUGGUUCUCCCCGAAAGCUAUUUAGGUAGCGCCUCGUGAAUUCAUCUCCGGGGGUAGAGCACUGUUUCGGCAAGGGGGUCAUCCCGACUUACCAACCCGAUGCAAACUGCGAAUACCGGAGAAUGUUAUCACGGGAGACACACGGCGGGUGCUAACGUCCGUCGUGAAGAGGGAAACAACCCAGACCGCCAGCUAAGGUCCCAAAGUCAUGGUUAAGUGGGAAACGAUGUGGGAAGGCCCAGACAGCCAGGAUGUUGGCUUAGAAGCAGCCAUCAUUUAAAGAAAGCGUAAUAGCUCACUGGUCGAGUCGGCCUGCGCGGAAGAUGUAACGGGGCUAAACCAUGCACCGAAGCUGCGGCAGCGACGCUUAUGCGUUGUUGGGUAGGGGAGCGUUCUGUAAGCCUGUGAAGGUGUGCUGUGAGGCAUGCUGGAGGUAUCAGAAGUGCGAAUGCUGACAUAAGUAACGAUAAAGCGGGUGAAAAGCCCGCUCGCCGGAAGACCAAGGGUUCCUGUCCAACGUUAAUCGGGGCAGGGUGAGUCGACCCCUAAGGCGAGGCCGAAAGGCGUAGUCGAUGGGAAACAGGUUAAUAUUCCUGUACUUGGUGUUACUGCGAAGGGGGGACGGAGAAGGCUAUGUUGGCCGGGCGACGGUUGUCCCGGUUUAAGCGUGUAGGCUGGUUUUCCAGGCAAAUCCGGAAAAUCAAGGCUGAGGCGUGAUGACGAGGCACUACGGUGCUGAAGCAACAAAUGCCCUGCUUCCAGGAAAAGCCUCUAAGCAUCAGGUAACAUCAAAUCGUACCCCAAACCGACACAGGUGGUCAGGUAGAGAAUACCAAGGCGCUUGAGAGAACUCGGGUGAAGGAACUAGGCAAAAUGGUGCCGUAACUUCGGGAGAAGGCACGCUGAUAUGUAGGUGAAGUCCCUCGCGGAUGGAGCUGAAAUCAGUCGAAGAUACCAGCUGGCUGCAACUGUUUAUUAAAAACACAGCACUGUGCAAACACGAAAGUGGACGUAUACGGUGUGACGCCUGCCCGGUGCCGGAAGGUUAAUUGAUGGGGUUAGCGCAAGCGAAGCUCUUGAUCGAAGCCCCGGUAAACGGCGGCCGUAACUAUAACGGUCCUAAGGUAGCGAAAUUCCUUGUCGGGUAAGUUCCGACCUGCACGAAUGGCGUAAUGAUGGCCAGGCUGUCUCCACCCGAGACUCAGUGAAAUUGAACUCGCUGUGAAGAUGCAGUGUACCCGCGGCAAGACGGAAAGACCCCGUGAACCUUUACUAUAGCUUGACACUGAACAUUGAGCCUUGAUGUGUAGGAUAGGUGGGAGGCUUUGAAGUGUGGACGCCAGUCUGCAUGGAGCCGACCUUGAAAUACCACCCUUUAAUGUUUGAUGUUCUAACGUUGACCCGUAAUCCGGGUUGCGGACAGUGUCUGGUGGGUAGUUUGACUGGGGCGGUCUCCUCCUAAAGAGUAACGGAGGAGCACGAAGGUUGGCUAAUCCUGGUCGGACAUCAGGAGGUUAGUGCAAUGGCAUAAGCCAGCUUGACUGCGAGCGUGACGGCGCGAGCAGGUGCGAAAGCAGGUCAUAGUGAUCCGGUGGUUCUGAAUGGAAGGGCCAUCGCUCAACGGAUAAAAGGUACUCCGGGGAUAACAGGCUGAUACCGCCCAAGAGUUCAUAUCGACGGCGGUGUUUGGCACCUCGAUGUCGGCUCAUCACAUCCUGGGGCUGAAGUAGGUCCCAAGGGUAUGGCUGUUCGCCAUUUAAAGUGGUACGCGAGCUGGGUUUAGAACGUCGUGAGACAGUUCGGUCCCUAUCUGCCGUGGGCGCUGGAGAACUGAGGGGGGCUGCUCCUAGUACGAGAGGACCGGAGUGGACGCAUCACUGGUGUUCGGGUUGUCAUGCCAAUGGCACUGCCCGGUAGCUAAAUGCGGAAGAGAUAAGUGCUGAAAGCAUCUAAGCACGAAACUUGCCCCGAGAUGAGUUCUCCCUGACUCCUUGAGAGUCCUGAAGGAACGUUGAAGACGACGACGUUGAUAGGCCGGGUGUGUAAGCGCAGCGAUGCGUUGAGCUAACCGGUACUAAUGAACCGUGAGGCUUAACCUU
rnacentral:rRNA from 1 species